AUUUUAUUCUUUAUAUUUAUCUAUAUAUAUAAUUCUACUAGAGAAAUAUUCUUUCUGCUGAUAGAACAAUUCAAAAGUGGAUUUGAAGAAAUAUGUCAAUCCUAGGACCAUGGAGAUGGAGGGCGUUCUGUGGAUAGGUUUUGUAAUCGUGAAUGUGAUGGUUAAUUUGAUGGGUAUUAUGCGAAGCAGGGGAUUGAUCUCCCUAUUACUAAUCUUUUCCUUAGUCCUUUGUUUGUUUCCAUGCUUACAAAAAUCAUAAAGACGACAAGAAGACACUCUAGCAAGCAGCCAACGCAUUUUUAUAAAUG
rnacentral:misc_RNA from 1 species